rnacentral:rRNA from 1 species
UAGGGAAUCUUCGGCAAUGGGGGCAACCCUGACCGAGCAACGCCGCGUGAGUGAAGAAGGUUUUCGGAUCGUAAAGCUCUGUUGUAAGAGAAGAACGUGUGUGAGAGUGGAAAGUUCACACAGUGACGGUAACUUACCAGAAAGGGACGGCUAACUACGUGCCAGCAGCCGCGGUAAUACGUAGGUCCCGAGCGUUGUCCGGAUUUAUUGGGCGUAAAGCGAGCGCAGGCGGUUUAAUAAGUCUGAAGUUAAAGGCAGUGGCUUAACCAUUGUUCGCUUUGGAAACUGUUAAACUUGAGUGCAGAAGGGGAGGGUGGAAUUCCAUGUGUAGCGGUGAAAUGCGUAGGUAUAUGGGGGAACACCGGUGGCGAAAGCGGCUCUCUGGUCUGUAACUGACGCUGAGGCUCGAAAGCGUGGGGAGCAAACAGG